UUCCGGUUGAUCCUGCCGGAGGCUACUGCUUUUGGAAUUCGAUUAAAGCAUGCGAGUCAAGAGGUCUUCGGAUACUCGGCGUAAUGCUCAGUAACACGUGGACAAUCUACCCUUGGGCGGGGGAUAAUCUCGGGAAACUGAGGAUAAUACCCCAUAGGCCUGAUCUGCUGGAACGCUUUCAGGCUGAAACCUUCGGGCCCAAGGAUGAGUCUGCGGCCUAUCAGGUCGUAGUGGGUGUAACGGACCCACUAGCCGUCGACGGGUAUGGGCCUUGAGAGAGGGAGCCCAGAGAUGGACUCUGAGACACGAGUCCAGGCCCUACGGGGCGCAGCAGCUGCGAAAACUUCGCAAUGUGGGAAACCACGACGAGGGAAUUCCAAGUGCUAGCGCAAAGCGUUAGCUGUUCUUUAGCCUAAAAAGCUAAAGGAGUAAGGGCUGGGUAAGACCGGUGCCAGCCGCCGCGGUAAUACCGGCAGCUCGAGUGGUAGUCGUUUUUAUUGGGCUUAAAGCGUCCGUAGCCUGCUUCGUAAAUCCUUGGGUAAAUCGGCCAGCUUAACUGUCCGAAUUCUGAUGAGACUGCGAAGCUUGGGACCGGGAGAAGUCAGAAGUACUCCUGGGGUAGGGGUGAAAUCCUGUAAUCCUAGGGGGACUACCAGUGGCGAAGGCGUCUGACUAGAACGGAUCCGACGGUGAGGGACGAAACCCUGGGGCACAAACGGGAUUAGAUACCCCGGUAGCCCAGGGCGUAAACGCUGCAGGCUUGGUGUUGGGAGUCCCACGAGGGCACUCAGUGCCGGAGUGAAAAUGUUAAGCCUGCCGCCUGGGGAGUACGGCCGCAAGGUUGAAACUUAAAGGAAUUGGCGGGGGAGCACAGCAACGGGUGGAGCGUGCGGUUUAAUUGGAUUCAACGCCGGGA
rnacentral:rRNA from 1 species